GAUAGUCUAUAUCCCAUCCCGAUGGCCAUCUUCCAUACUCACCAUCUAGCUCCACAUGCCAACUCCAUCUCUCUCUCACAGUGGAAUCAACAUUUGGGACACACUCAUUUCGAUAAUGUGAAGCGUGUUCUUCGACAUUUUUCUUUACCUGUUGCUAAUAAGGAUAUUACUUCAAUUUUCCAUUAUUGUUGUGUUGGCAAAAUGCAUAAAGAACC
rnacentral:lncRNA from 1 species